UACGUAGGGUGCAAGCGUUGUCCGGAAUUAUUGGGCGUAAAGAGCUCGUAGGCGGUCUGUCGCGUCGGCUGUGAAAACCCAGGGCUCAACCCCGGGCCUGCAGUCGAUACGGGCAGACUAGAGUGCGGUAGGGGAGACUGGAAUUCCUGGUGUAGCGGUGAAAUGCGCAGAUAUCAGGAGGAACACCAAUGGCGAAGGCAGCUCGCUGGGACGUGACUGACGCUGAGACGCGAAAGCGUGGGGAGCAAACAGG
rnacentral:rRNA from 1 species